rnacentral:miRNA from 14 species
CCUCUGAAGUUUCCCUAAGGAUAGCUGGCGCUCUCGCACAUGAACUCACGAAGUUUUAUCUGAUAAAGCCAAUGAUUAGAGGUCUUGGGGCCCAAACGAUCUCAAC